rnacentral:lncRNA from 1 species
GUUUUGACCAAGUAUCUGAUCUGUCAUGUGAGGAGCAAGGAAUGCUGGAGUCAGGUUUGGCAGAUUAUGUAUCAGGCUUCCUGUGCUUGUUGCUGCUUGCACCUGGGACUUUGCCAGGGAAGUUUCAGUUUUGGGGAAUAUCUUGUGCCCAGACAGUUCAAAACCUCAGCAGAGUAAUCUCUCUCCCAUCUGCCCACCAAAGAACAGUCCAAGCCAGGUCUAUCCAGCCUCACUUCACUCUGGAGCAGACCUCUUACAUUUUUGUUGGCUGCUAACGUACUAAGCGUUUUUUGGCAGCAUGCGGUUCUGGAU